CUAACGUUAGAGACUCUGAGUCUGGUCUUGAGGACACACAAGCCACUCCACAGCGGAUUACUGCAAGAUUAAUAAAGUAGACCUGCAGGACCCGAGCAGAGCUACGAUGCUCUCCCAGGUACUUCAAGCUUUACAAUAAGAAGUCAAGGAAGUGAAGGACUACAGCCACAUCCCAGCCCUUCAGAGAACUGUCCUGCAGAAAAGGCUGUCGUCCAGACUGGAGCAGUGGGCCAUCAGUGAGCUCAGGAGAACAGAUGAUCCCAGCC